UGCAGUCGAGCGGUAGAGAGGUGCUUGCACCUCUUGAGAGCGGCGGACGGGCGAUUAAAGCCUAGGAAUCUGCCUGGUAGUGGGGGAUAACGCUCGGAAACGGACGCUAAUACCGCAUACGUCCUACGGGAGAAAGCAGGGGACCUUCGGGCCUUGCGCUAUCAGAUGAGCCUAGGUCGGAUUAGCUAGUUGGUGAGGUAAUGGCUCACCAAGGCGACGAUCCGUAACUGGUCUGAGAGGAUGAUCAGUCACACUGGAACUGAGACACGGUCCAGACUCCUACGGGAGGCAGCAGUGGGGAAUAUUGGACAAUGGGCGAAAGCCUGAUCCAGCCAUGCCGCGUGUGUGAAGAAGGUCUUCGGAUUGUAAAGCACUUUAAGUUGGGAGGAAGGGCAUUAACCUAAUACGUUAGUGUUUUGACGUUACCGACAGAAUAAGCACCGGCUAACUCUGUGCCAGCAGCCGCGGUAAUACAGAGGGUGCAAGCGUUAAUCGGAAUUACUGGGCGUAAAGCGCGCGUAGGUGGUUCGUUAAGUUGGAUGUGAAAUCCCCGGGCUCAACCUGGGAACUGCAUUCAAAACUGUCGAGCUAGAGUAUGGUAGAGGGUGGUGGAAUUUCCUGU
rnacentral:rRNA from 1 species